rnacentral:rRNA from 1 species
AUGGCGAUCAAGUCUCUAGUUCUUCUUGGUGUCGUACUAGCCUCGCUCCUGCUUCUCUCCGAGGAUGUAGCGGGUGCUAGAGAGCUUACAGAUGCUAAAGAAUCCAAGAAGAAGAAUGUGAAACCUGCAGGAGGGUCGGGCCUGCCUAAGGAAGAGAAGUGGGGAGGUGGAAACAAGCAUGAUGGAGGAUACAGAGACGGUGAAGGGUAUGGAAACGGUGGAGGGUAUGGCGCUGGUGGAUACGGUAAUGGUGGGGGAUAUGGAAACGGUGGCGGAGGUUAUGGCUAUGGAGGUUAUGGAAACAAUGGUGGUGGGUAUGGUGGAGGAUACGGCAAUUCUGGGCACGGUGGCGGUUAUGGGCGUGGUUACGGCGGUGGAGGCUAUGGACCCGGAUAUGGUGGCGGGUAUGGCAAUGGCGAUGGAAAUGGUGGAUUUGGCAGCGGCUUUGGUGGGGGAUAUGGUGGUGGCGGCGGAUAUGGUGGAGGUGGAGGAUACGGUGGUGGUGGCGGAUAUGGUGGAGGUUACAACGGAGGAUCUGGUGGCGGUGGCUAUCCCUGA